UCUCUUGCUCAACAGUUAGCUUGAGGCAAACGUGCUUUAUUUGUCAAGUGCUCCUUCCCUUCCUCAUUGGGCACUUGCAUGGGCUGCAGUGAGACAAUUGGAGAGAAUGUGUGACAUGUGAGGCUCUUCUUUGUCCUCCCUUUCUCAGAGCCAGUGUCCCCUCCACAGAUCCUGGCCAAGUCGCUGUCCGUCACAGCAGAAUGGUGCAAUGUCACCCUGGAGUGCAGACCCACAGGGGCCACAGAGGACCUGAAUGUGACCUGGGAGAGCAAGGGCCUCCCCAGGGAGCUGGAGCAGAGAGGGACACCAGGACCGGCCCCCAUCCCCUGGACCCGGGCUGUGAGCUUGCCCCUGAGCCAGGCCAAUGGCAGCCUCAGCUGUGUGGUCAGCAACCCCGAGGACCAGAACAGAGCCACCUCAGACCUCGGUGACAUCUGUCCACGAGGAAGUGGGUCCUGCAGGGCGGACGGCGGCUGUAACCAUGAUGGCCUCGGGUUCAUGGUGGGGGGAGCAUUACUCGUUUCCCUGGCACAAAAUCAAUCUCCAUUCUGUCAGUGACUCCGGUGCAGGAUUGCAGCAGGACCAACGGGUCUGCACUGAUGACGUAUUGUAUGCGGGUAUUAUGACACAGAACCCUCAUGAAGAAAGUGACAAGGGGGUACUGGGGAUCAAACUCGGGACCUUGCACUUGUGAGGCAGGUGGCGGAACCACUGACUUAAAUCCCCAGCCCUGAACCUGAGUUUCUAAUGGCAAACAACAGAAUUACAGAAACCUGAAUGAACAAAAAAUGCAUUGUCCCUUAGAGUCUAUUGGAAGGAAUGUAACCUUAAUUUUAUUCCAGAGAUGCAUUAGACUUGUAGUCUCUAGAACUACAAGAUGGUAAGUUAGUGUUGUGUUAAGGCACUGAGUGUAUUGUGGUCUGGCAUGGCAGGAAUAGACAGUAACGCUAAUAUCAUAUCAUCUUGUGGUUCCAAGUACUUCGGGUACUAUGGAGGUCCCAGGCUAGGCGUCUCCAAUGGACUCCACAUUGUACAAAUCCAUCUCCUUACAUGGCAUCUCUACUUGACUGAUGGCAUCUGCAGAUUGGCAUGUCUCAAUUUAAUAUCUCUAGUCAUGCUUCCCAUACAGCUUUCCUGUCCAAUAAAUGUCACCUCUCUCCUCACAUUUGUUUCAGUGACAAAACUGUGAAUUCUACCGUGUCCUCAGUCAGUCCACGAGGCACAUCGCUGACCAGUGUGACCGGCAUCCCUCAGCUGGGCACUGGCAGUGGCCUCACAGUCUCCUUGCUUCUCUUUUUAACUCCUUAAAGUAGCAUCCACAAUGACCCUUCCACAGUGGGACUUGUGUCACGUCACUUCCUUCAGUGGGCGAUUCUGGAAAAACACAAAUCAUUAAGGCUGAUUUACAUGUGUGUAUAAAUGUCCAAAAUGGACGCAGAAAAUACUGGCAAAUAUUUGUAUUUU
rnacentral:lncRNA from 1 species